rnacentral:rRNA from 1 species
CCUACGGGUGGCUGCAGUGAGGAAUUUUGGUCAAUGGGAGAGAUCCUGAACCAGCCAAGCCGCGUGAGGGAAGACGGCCCUAUGGGUUGUAAACCCCUUUUGUCGGAGAACAAAACCCGGGACGUGUCCCGGACUGCGUGUAUCCGAAGAAAAAGCAUCGGCUAACCCCGUACCAGCAGCCGCGGCAAUACGGGGGAUGCGAGCGUUAUCCGGAUUUAUUGGGUUAAAGGGGUGCGUAGGCGGUCCGUUAAGUCAGCGGUAAAAUUGCGGGGCUCAACCUCGUCGAGCCGUUGAAACUGGCAGACUUGAGUUGGCGAGAGGUACGCGGAAUGCGCGGUGUAGCGGUGAAAUGCAUAGAUAUCGCGCAGAACUCCGGUUGCGAAGGCAGCGUACCGGCGCCAGACUGACGCUGAGGCACGAAAGCGUGGGGAGCGAACAGGAUUAGAUACCCUUGUAGUC